GAAAGGGCGCGUGCAGACCGCGCUGGGCGACCGGCACAGCAGCAGCAGAACCGGCUGCAGAAUCAGAGCGGAGCGGGAGGAGAGCAGGAGCGGAGCGGGAGCAGAGCAGGAACAGAGCGCGACCGCCGAUCCCCGCUUCAGUGGAUCGUCCGGGGCAGGGACAGAGCCUCCAGGACCCUCCGCCCGCGCCGGGCAGAGCUGCCCAUGAAGCCGCCCGCCGCGCAGGGCAGCCCCGCGGCCGCCGCCGCCGCAGCGCCGGCCCUGGACUCGGCGGCCGCCGGCGACCUAACGGACGCGCUGUGCGAGUUCGACGCGGUGCUGGCGGACUUCGCGUCGCCCUGCCACGCGCGCCACUUCCACUACGAGGAGCACCUGCAGCGCAUGAAGCGGCGGAGCAGCGCCAGCGUCAGCGACAGCAGCGGCUUCAGCGACUCCGAGAGUGCAGAUUCAUUAUAUAGGAACAGCUUCAGCUUCAGCGACGAAAAACUGAAUUCUCCAACAGACUCCACCCCGGCUCUGCUCUCUCCCGCCAUCACUCCUCGGAAAGCCAAACUAGGAGACACGAAAGAGCUAGAAGACUUUAUUGCUGAUCUUGACAGAACAUUAGCAACUCAGUUGCAUUAGACUCAUGUAACAAGCCUGUCUACUUCAUGGAAACUGCAGCAGGCUGACCAGUCAUACCAGUUAAUCAGACAGACAUUGUGUGGGAAACCUGACAUUAAGUAUGUGAGAAAAGGAGAAGUUCUGGGUCCUUUCAUCAUAGGGGGAAAGCUUCAGAAAGCUCCGAGGACCUGGUAAAAUCAGCUGCAGAAUUUGCUGCCAGAAGGAAUAGAGAUGAGCACACGCCCACCACCAGGCCAUUCCCAGCUGGUCCUAAAACUAGCCUUUGGGCUCAUCCUUGAGCAAUUCCAACAGUGAAACUGACUUUGUUUACCUGCUUGCAGCAUAUUAGAGCAGACCACCCAUGCUAAUAUCGUAUUUCUCUUAAAAGACAGCUUUCAUGUAAUUUAAAGUGCUUUUAUGAAAAUAUUUGUAAUUAAUUAUAUAUAGUUGGAAACAGUGAUAUGCUUUCCUCAUUAUAAUAUAUUUUUGUAUGCAAAUAAAAUUUGAACUGGA